rnacentral:rRNA from 1 species
UACGGGGGGAGCAAGCGUUGUUCGGAUUUACUGGGCGUAAAGGGCGCGUAGGCGGUCAGCACAAGUCAGUUGUGAAAUCUCCGGGCUUAACUCGGAAAGGUCAACUGAUACUGUGCGACUAGAGUGCAGAAGGGGCAACUGGAAUUCUCGGUGUAGCGGUGAAAUGCGUAGAUAUCAGGAGGAACACCGAUGGCGAAGGCAGGUCUCUGGGCUGACACUGACGCUCAUGCACGAAAGCGUGGGGAGCAAACAGG